CAAGGAGCCUGAUCACCCGGAUUGCACUGUGUACGUGGAAGGCGUCACGUCUGAUUGCUGGGCUGGGAUUUCUACCACCUGGGAAACCAGGUGUGGCAACACGAAAGCUUCAAGAGGUUGAGCAAUUUGUUCAAAGUCCCAGAAACAGUAACUGGUAAGACAGGGUCUCAGGCCUGAAGGACUUUUCAUCCCAGAGCGUGAAGAGGGCACGGCUGCUGCUGAUAACAAGCCAUGGGGACGUGCUUCCGUCUUCAUCGCAAGGGUUACAAACAAAGUGCCCUCCACCAGGGACUCUGUCGUCCAGCUAUCCACACCCAAGCCCUCUUGACAACAUAGCCACCCAACUAUGGCUUGGGGUCUCUGAGGUCUGCAGGAGGAACUGGCUGGCCAGAUGGUCCCUGCCAUCCAGAGCAAGAGCUAGUGAGAACUGCUUCCACAGGCUUUCGAGACUCUGCUUUCCCGCUGGAGCCUCCGGUCUCAGCCACACUCUGCCCAGGAAAGAUGCUGCAGCGUCCACAGCCCCCCUCACCUCCUUUUGGUGAUUGUCCCAUAUCCCUCAGGACUUGGCUGGCACAGAAAAUAAAGAAGAACCAAAAACCUGAA
ensembl:lncRNA